CUUGAGGGGGGGGGGUCCCUCAGCUUGGAUUGCGAGAGGGCGCAGGCCAGGCUGAGGGACCCCACUGGUGCACA
rnacentral:pre_miRNA from 1 species